GUCAUGGUGGCCGAGUAGUUAAGGCGAGUGAUUUGAACAAAGAUAGUAUUAUCACUUGGUGUUUCACCGCGUAGGUUCAAAUCCUGCCCAUGACG